UACGUAGGGUGCAAGCGUUGUCCGGAUUUAUUGGGCGUAAAGAGCUCGUAGGCGGUUCAGUAAGUCGGGUGUGAAAACUCUAGCUCAACCUGGAGACGCCACUCGAUACUGCUGUGACUUGAAUCUGGUAGGGGAGCACGGAAUUCCUGGUGUAGCGGUGAAAUGCAUAGAUAUCAGGAGGAACACCGGUGGCGGAAGGCGGUGCUCUGGGCCAGUAUUGACGCUGAGGAGCGAAAGCGUGGGUAGCGAACAGG
rnacentral:rRNA from 1 species